UCGGUACCAAGUUCGCGGAAACGUUUGGCACGUUAUCAUCGUGCCUGGGUUUUCUAUCGAUGCAAUAGCGAAGAGAUAUUUUCGAUCGUUGAAAAAGAUAGUUAGAAUAUAAGGAUAUACAAGUCUACUUACAUACUACAAGUACGUACGUACGAAGAAGAAGAAGAAGAAGAAGAGGAAGAAGAAGAAGAAGAACCGUUGGUUUCUUAACGAUUACGAUAUCAGGCCCCAACGAAAGACCCAACGGAAUUCAGCCGAAUGUUGUAAAGAUUAAAAUCACUCAUCUCAACGAGAUGCUUACUUUUAUAUA
rnacentral:lncRNA from 1 species